UACGUAGGGUGCAAGCGUUGUCCGGAAUUAUUGGGCGUAAAGAGCUCGUAGGCGGUCUGUCGCGUCUGCUGUGAAAACUCAGGGCUUAACCCUGAGCUUGCAGUGGGUACGGGCAGACUAGAGUGCGGUAGGGGAGACUGGAAUUCCCGGUGUAGCAGUGAAAUGCGUAGAUAUCGGGAGGAAUACCGAUGGCGAAGGCAGGUCUCUGGGCUGACACUGACGCUCAUGCACGAAAGCGUGGGGAGCAAACAGG
rnacentral:rRNA from 1 species